rnacentral:rRNA from 1 species
GACGAACGCUGGCGGCGUGCUUAACACAUGCAAGUCGAACGAAGUGGCGAACGGGUUAUUAACUCUUAAUCAACCUGCCCUUCAGAGGGGGACAACAGUUGGAAACGACUGCUAAUACCGCAUACUGAAGGAGGGGAUUGCGUCUGAUCAGCUAGUUGGAGGGGUAACGGCCCACCAAGGCGAUGAUCAGUAGCCGGGCUGGGAGGAGGAACGGCCACAUUGGGACUGAGACACGGCCCAGACUCCUACGGGAGGCAGCAGGGGGGAAUCUUCCGCAAUGGACGAAAGUCUGACGGAGCAACGCCGCGUGAGUGAUGACGGCCUUCGGGUUGUAAAGCUCUGUUAAUCGGGACGCGGUACCGGAAUAGAAAGCCACGGCUAACUACGUGCCAGCAGCCGCGGUAAUUC